UACGUAGGUGGCAAGCGUUAUCCGGAAUUAUUGGGCGAAAGCGCGCGCAGGUGGUUUCUUAAGUCUGAUGUGAAAGCCCACGGCUCAACCGUGGAGGGUCAUUGGAAACUGGGGGACUUGAGUGCAGAAGAGGAAAGCGGAAUUCCACGUGUAGCGGUGAAAUGCGUAGAGAUGUGGAGGAACACCAGUGGCGAAGGCGGCUUUCUGGUCUGUAACUGACGCUGAGGCGCGAAAGCGUGGGGAGCAAACAGG
rnacentral:rRNA from 1 species